ensembl:misc_RNA Metazoa_SRP Metazoan signal recognition particle RNA
ACUGGGCAUGGUGACUUGUGCCUGUAGUCCCAGCUACUGGGGAGGCUGAGGUGGGAGGAUCACUUGAGCCCAGGAGUUUGAAGCUGCAGUGAGCUGUGAUUGCGCCACUGCACUCCAGCCUGGGCCACAUAGUGAGACCUUACCUCUU